rnacentral:rRNA from 2 species
GGACGAACGCUGGCGGCGUGCCUAAUACAUGCAAGUCGAGCGGAUCUUUCAAAAGCUUGCUUUUGGAAGAUCAGCGGCGGACGGGUGAGUAACACGUGGGCAACCUUCCUGUGAGACUGGGAUAACUUCGGGAAACCGGAGCUAAUACCGGAUAAUAUAAGGAACCUCCUGGUUCUUUAUUGAAAGAUGGUUUCGGCUAUCACUCACAGAUGGGCCCGCGGCGCAUUAGCUAGUUGGUGAGGUAACGGCUCACCAAGGCGACGAUGCGUAGCCGACCUGAGAGGGUGAUCGGCCACACUGGGACUGAGACACGGCCCAGACUCCUACGGGAGGCAGCAGUAGGGAAUCUUCCACAAUGGACGAAAGUCUGAUGGAGCAACGCCGCGUGAGCGAUGAAGGCCUUCGGGUCGUAAAGCUCUGUUGUUAGGGAAGAACAAGUGCGAGAGUAACUGCUCGCACCUUGACGGUACCUAACCAGAAAGCCACGGCUAACUACGUGCCAGCAGCCGCGGUAAUACGUAGGUGGCAAGCGUUGUCCGGAAUUAUUGGGCGUAAAGCGCGCGCAGGCGGUUUCUUAAGUCUGAUGUGAAAGCCCACGGCUCAACCGUGGAAGGUCAUUGGAAACUGGGGAACUUGAGUGCAGAAGAGAAAAGCGGAAUUCCCCGUGUAGCGGUGAAAUGCGUAGAGAUGUGGAGGAACACCGGUGGCGAAAGCGGCUUUUUGGUCUGUAACUGACGCUGAAGCGCGAAAGCGUGGGGAGCAACCAGGAUUAGAUACCCUGGUAGUCCACGCCGUAAACGAUGAGUGCUAAGUGUUAGAGGGUUUCCGCCCUUUAGUGCUGCAGCUAACGCAUUAAGCACUCCGCCUGGGGAGUACGGUCGCAAGACUGAAACUCAAAGGAAUUGACGGGGGCCCGCACAAGCGGUGGAGCAUGUGGUUUAAUUCGAAGCAACGCGAAGAACCUUACCAGGUCUUGACAUCCUCUGCCACUCCUAGAGAUAGGACGUUCCCCUUCGGGGGACAGAGUGACAGGUGGUGCAUGGUUGUCGUCAGCUCGUGUCGUGAGAUGUUGGGUUAAGUCCCGCAACGAGCGCAACCCUUGAUCUUAGUUGCCAGCAUUCAGUUGGGCACUCUAAGGUGACUGCCGGUGACAAACCGGAGGAAGGUGGGGAUGACGUCAAAUCAUCAUGCCCCUUAUGACCUGGGCUACACACGUGCUACAAUGGACGGUACAAAGGGCAGCAAAACCGCGAGGUCGAGCAAAUCCCAUAAAACCGUUCUCAGUUCGGAUUGCAGGCUGCAACUCGCCUGCAUGAAGCCGGAAUCGCUAGUAAUCGCGGAUCAGCAUGCCGCGGUGAAUACGUUCCCGGGCCUUGUACACACCGCCCGUCACACCACGAGAGUUUGUAACACCCGAAGUCGGUGGGGUAACCUUUUGGAGCCAGCCGCCUAAGGUGGGACAGAUGAUUGGGGUGAAGUCGUAACAAGGUAGCCGUAUCGGAAGGUGCG